rnacentral:rRNA from 1 species
CAGAAUUCGCGAAUCAUCGAGUCUUUGAACGCAAGUUGCGCCCGAGGCUUGCCCUCGGGCAUUUCUGUCAGAGCGUCACCGCGCCACCCACCGACCCCCCACCCCCUCC